rnacentral:tRNA from 1 species
GUGGCUGAACCCAAAAUGGAGGCGGGGCUAGUCUGUGAAACUAGUAUUAGCGGGUUCAACUCCCGUCGGUCACC